GAACUUCCUCUUUUUCCUUCCUUUUCUCUCCAUUUUUAUUUCUUUGAUCUUUUUUCUUGUUUUUCCUUCCUCAUUUUUUGCUUCCCUUUUUCCUUUCCUUGGUCUCCUUGCCUUGUUUUCCAUACCUUCCUUCUUUCCUUCUUUCUCUUAUUUCUUUCCUUCUUCUCUCAUUAUAUUUAUUUAAUUUUUUCUUACCAUUUUUUAAUUUUAUUCUUUGCAUUUUUCUUUCUUUUUUCUUUCCUUGAUAUUCUUUUUAAUUUUCUUUCCUCAUUUUACUUCCCUUUAUCUCUUUCCUUCUUUCCUGUCCCUCUUUUUCUUUUUUCUUUUCUUUUUCCUUUUCCUUUUCUUUCCUUUUUUACAACAAAUUUUGUCCUUUUUCUUUUACCUGGUUUCUUUCAUUUUUUCUUUCUUGUUUCUAUUGAUUGUUUUGCUUUUUUCCUUCAUAGUUUUCUUCUCCCCACUCUUUUCUUUUUUCUUUCCUUUAUCCUUACUUUUUUCCCUCCUUCUUUCCUGCCUUGCCUUUCUUUCCUUUUCCUCUCCUUUUCCUUUCUCUUUUUCUUACCUUGUUGUGUCCUUAUUUCUCUAUUCUCCUUUCAUUGCUUUUAUCUUUCCUCUUUUUUCCUCCCUUUUUUCUUUUUAUCCAUCUUUUUUCUUAUUUCUUUCUCUUUUCUUGUUUUCUUUAAUGGAUUUUCCUUUUAUCUUUCUUUUCUUCUCUUAGUCACUUUCUUUUCUCUUUCCAUUUCUUCUGUCCUUGUAUUUUUUCCUUUUAUUCCUUCCUCAUAUUUCUUUCAAUUUUUCUCUUUUUUCCUUCCCUUUCCUUUCUUUCCUUUUUCACUUUUUUAUUUCCAUUUUAAAUUUUUCAUCCUUUCUUUUGAUUCCUUUAAUCUUUCCUUUAUUCUUACUUUUUGUUUUUUUCAUCAAUUUUUUUCUUUUACUUUUAAUUCCUGUUCUCUUUUUUUUCCCUGUCCUAUUCUUUUUCCUUCAUCCAGCAGGUUUUCUUGCAGGUUUUACUGGUUUUUACCAUUUUCUUCCCUCUCCCCCUGAAAUCAGGGGCAGGUUUAGCCGUUGCCAACAGGGACCCAGGAGGUUUCCUCUCCUUGCAGCUGCUAUGGCUUCUUGGCUCUUAGGCGCAAGCCUGAAGCUUCUCACUCUCGCACUC
rnacentral:lncRNA from 1 species